rnacentral:rRNA from 1 species
UACGUAGGGUGCAAGCGUUAAUCGGAAUUACUGGGCGUAAAGCGUGCGCAGGCGGUUCGUUGUGUCGGCGGUGAAAGCCCCGGGCUCAACCUGGGAAUGGCCGUUGAAACUGGCGAACUGGAGUGUGGCAGAGGGGGGUGGAAUUCCGCGUGUAGCAGUGAAAUGCGUAGAGAUGCGGAGGAACACCGAUGGCGAAGGCAGCCCCCUGGGCUGACACUGACGCUCAUGCACGAAAGCGUGGGGAGCAAACAGG